rnacentral:rRNA from 1 species
AUGCACGCUGGCGGCGUGCCUAAUACAUGCCAGUCGAGCGAACAGACGAGGAGCUUGCUCCUCUGACGUUAGCGGCGGACGGGUGAGUAACACGUGGAUAACCUACCUAUAAGCCUGGGAUAACUUCGGGAAACCGGAGCUAAUACCGGAUAAUAUAUUGAACCGCAUGGUUCAAUAGUGAAAGACGGUUUUGCUGUCACUUAUAGAUGGAUCCGCGCCGCAUUAGCUAGUUGGUAAGGUAACGGCUUACCAAGGCAACGAUGCGUAGCCGACCUGAGAGGGUGAUCGGCCACACUGGAACUGAGACACGGUCCAGACUCCUACGGGAGGCAGCAGUAGGGAAUCUUCCGCAAUGGGCGAAAGCCUGACGGAGCAACGCCGCGUGAGUGAUGAAGGUCUUCGGAUCGUAAAACUCUGUUAUUAGGGAAGAACAAAUGUGUAAGUAACUAUGCACGUCUUGACGGUACCUAAUCAGAAAGCCACGGCUAACUACGUG